GGCUGAUCUGAAUGCAGUGGUGUUCACAACUAAGUGAUCGAAACUAGUUACAGAUUUCUUUGUACCUUCUCCACUCCCACUACUUCACAAAACUAGCCUUAA
ensembl:misc_RNA Y_RNA Y RNA